UUCCGGUUGAUCCUGCCGGAGGCUACCGCUAUUGGAGUUCGAUUAAGCCAUGCGAGUCGCGAGAAAUUAGAUUCUCGGCGUACCGCUCAGUAACACGUGGGUAACCUGCCCUAUGCUGGAUAAUAACCUCGGGAAACUGAGAAUAAUGAUCCAUAGUUCACUACGCCUGGAACGGUGAGUGGAUGAAAGCUCCGGCGGCAUAGGAUGGGCCUGCGGCGUAUCAGGUUGUAGGGGGUGUAACGUACCCUCUAGCCCUCUACGCGUACGGGUGUUGGGAGACAUAGCCCGGAGAUGGAUUCUGAGACACGAAUCCAGACCCUACGGGGUGCAGCAGGCGCGAAAACUUGGCAAUGCGAGAAAUCGUGACCAGGGAACUCCAAGUGCAUCGGGUAAGACCGGUGCUUUUCUUGACUCUAAAUAGGUCUUGGAAUAAGGGGUGGGUAAGGACGGUGCCAGCCGCCGCGGUAAUACCGGCGCCUCAAGUGGUAGUCGCUUUUAUUGGGCCUAAAACGUCCGUAGCCGGUCUGAUACAUUCGUGGGUAAAUCAACCAGCUUAACUGGUUGAAUUCUGCGAGGACGGUCAGACUUGGGACCGGGAGAGGUGUGGGGUACGCUCAGGGUAGGGGUAAAAUCCUGUCAUCCUGAGCGGACCACCUGUUGCGAAGGCGCCACACUAGAACGGAUCCGACGGUCAGGGACGAAGCCUAGGGGCACGAACCGGAUUAGAUACCCGGGUAGUCCUAGGUGUAAACGCUGUGGACUUGAUGUUGGGGUGCUCCGAGCACUCUCAGUGUCGAAGCGAAGGUGAUAAGUCCACUGCCUGGGAAGUACGGUCGCAAGGCUGAAACUUAAAGGAAUUGGCGGGGGAGCACCGCAACCUGAGGAUUGUGCGGUUUAAUUGGAUUCAACGCCGG
rnacentral:rRNA from 1 species